UACGUAGGUGGCAAGCGUUGUCCGGAUUUACUGGGCGUAAAGAGCGCGCAGGCGGUCGAAUAAGUCGAAUGUGAAAGCCCCCGGCUUAACUGGGGAGGGUCAUUCGAUACUGCUCGACUUGAAGGCAGGAGAGGGUAGUGGAAUUCCCGGUGUAGUGGUGAAAUGCGUAGAUAUCUGGAGGAAAACCGGUGGCGAAGGCGGCAUCCUGGACCGGCAUUGACGCUGAUGAGCGAAAGCUAGGGGAGCAAACGGG
rnacentral:rRNA from 1 species